rnacentral:rRNA from 1 species
GAUGAACGCUGGCGGCGUGCCUAAUACAUGCAAGUCGAACGCAUUGUGGUUGAAAUGAUAUGAAGAACUUGUUCAGAUUUGAUUUUAAACAUUGCAAUGAGUGGCGAACGGGUGAGUAACACGUGGGAAACCUACCUCUUAGCAGGGGAUAACAUUUGGAAACAAAUGCUAAUACCGUAUAAUAAUUAAAACCGCAUGGUUUUAGUUUAAAAGAUGGUCUUGCUAUCACUGAGAGAUGGUCCCGCGGUGUAUUAGUUAGUUGGUGAGGUAAUGGCUCACCAAGACAAUGAUACAUAGCCGAGUUGAGAGACUGACCGGCCACAAUGGGACUGAGACACGGCCCAUACUCCUACGGGAGGCAGCAGUAGGGAAUCUUCCACAAUGGACGAAAGUCUGAUGGAGCGAACGCCGCGUGUGUGAUGAAGGUUUCGGCUCGUAAAACACUAGUUGUAAGAGAAGAAUGACAUUGAGAGUAACU